ACCGAGUGAGCAGUUUCUCUUCUUGCCCUCCCAGGUGGCGUGAAGGGGAGAUGGCUGCUUUCUCCUGGGAAGGGAGCAGAUGCCUGGCCCAGGACCAAAUCAAAAGGUCUGAAAAAUGAUAUUCAUUGUCCUAAUGUGUAAAUUUCGACAAUUUGCAAAUUUGUAGAUUCUUUAGAAUAGAACUAACUCAAGCCCUUCAUUCUGCAGCUGAGGCUCACUGCCCCCAGUGGGCAGUGGGUCCAGGGGGUUUCUGAGGACAGGGCAUGACCCAGCCCUGCUGCCCCCAAGAUGGCACCUGGCUUGGAGGGGUGAGGGGCCCUGUUAGUCUGACUUUGAAGAAGACCAGCCUUCCAGACUCGCUUGGUGCCCUGACAGGUAUGUGUGCUCUUCUCUCUCCCACCUAACAGCCCCUUUUGGGAGACAGGGUCUGAGAGGAGUCAGGGUCGUAUAACCUUAACACAGUGUGUUAUCCAAAAACCCACUAACCCUGUUACUCUUGUCUGUCUGCUAUGUGAAACCAAGGGCGGUGUUAAAGUUUAUCACCAUGAUAUACAGAUGUGCGUGGGGACAUCUGGGAUGGGGCUCAGGGGUCUACCUGGAGGUCAGAGAGGGCAGGAUCUGCUUAGGGGAGAUGGAUGACUGUGGGGGUCAGACAGGGCAGGGUUUGCUUAGGGGAGAUGGAUGACUGUGGACAUGUGGCUGUAAAUCAUCCUCCCCGUCUUACAUAGGAUGGGGAUGCAACUUUCAAGAGUUGCCUUGAUUGGUACCUUAAAGGAAAUAAAACAUAAAAUGCUUGGCACAUAGUAGAUGCUCAACACAUGUAGAAAAGGCACUUAUUUUAGGUGGAUCUGCCGCCGAAUGGCCCUUUUGCAAGCUCUUCUCAUUUUUUGGAAUCCAAAGGGAAGGUGUGGGGAGCAGGGUCGGGGUGGAGGGGAAGGACGACGUGAGGUUGCAGAGGGCAUUUUCUUGAGGCAAUGGCAUAUCUUUCAUUGGUACUGGCUGGGUUUAUGCGGACUUUGAGAGGAGUGGAGUGUCUCCAAGUGGGGCUACCCCAGCCUGCAGGUUGGAUGCAGGUAACCUCAGUCUGGGCACUGCAUUUUUAUUUACCAUAAAAAUAUUUCAUAUUUGCUGGGUGUGGUGGCUCACGCUUAUAAUCCCAGCACUUUCGGAGGCCGAGGCCGGUGGAUCACCUGAGGCCAGGAGUUUGAGACCAGCCUGGCCAACAUGGUGAAACCCCGUCUCUACAAAAAUACACAAAAUUAGCUGGGCGUGGUGGUGCAUGCCUGUAGUUCCAGCUACUCAGGAGACUGAGGCAUGAGAAUUGCUCGAACCUGGAAGGCAGAAGUUGCAGUUAGCCGAGAUUGCACCAUUGCACUCCAGCCUGGGUGACAGCAAGACUCCGUCUCAAAAAAAAAAAAAAGAAAGAAAAAUUGCAAAACUAUAGCAAUCACCUCAAGGUUUUCACAGGAAUCAAACUCAGUCCAAACUAAAAUGCUGUGUAAUAAAUAGUGGGGCUUCACGUGCAGGAAAGGCGAUUAAGAGCGAGGCAUGCAGGCCGAGGGCUGCUUAACCUGUCUCAGAUUUCUUCCGCACAAAGUCA
rnacentral:lncRNA from 10 species